GGGGGGGGCAAGCGUUGUUCGGAAUUACUGGGCGUAAAGGGCUCGUAGGCGGCCAACUAAGUCAGACGUGAAAUCCCUCGGCUUAACCGGGGAACGGCAUCUGAUACUGGAUGGCUGGAGUUCGGGAGAGGGAUGCGGAAUUCCAGGUGUAGCGGUGAAAUGCGUAGAUAUCUGGAGGAACACCGGUGGCGAAGGCGGCAUCCUGGACCGACACUGACGCUGAGGAGCGAAAGCCAGGGGAGCAAACGGGAUUAGAUACCCCGGUAGUCCUGGCCCUAAGCGAUGAAUGCUUGGUGUGGCGGGUAUCGAUCCCUGCCGUGCCGAAGCUAACGCAUUAAGCAUUCCGCCUGGGGAGUACGGUCGCAAGGCUG
rnacentral:rRNA from 1 species